GCCUGCUGGGGAAUAUACCUCUUGCAAAACAGGACACAAAGUUGAGUUUCCCUGAUUAAAUCUGGUGGCAUGCACGCUUCAAGAGCUGCCCAACAAAUGUCUUCUGCAUUUGAUGGUGUGAACCCAAAGACAGCUCACUCUGCUGCUGUCCAGAUUUUGAGAGAGAUCUGAGAUUCCGACACUGGGAUGCUGGAAGUGCAGGCAGUAUUUUGCAGAUUUCCUGCAAGAAAGUACCCUCUCAGCUCAGAAGUUUCUCAAGCACCUACGACUUGGCUGAUAGAAAAGGGAGCAUAUUAUUUUUAACUGAACUGCCACGGAUAUAAUAAAGUCUGCAAUAAAUUAAAUGAGAAGGAAGGACACCUGUUCUACCCCCUUGUUCGCUACAGGGCAGUGUUUGGAGGAUUGCUUCAAAGUCAUUGUGUGGAUCACUGUGCAGCAAACAAGUUAGGUCUUGUGAAGAAGAUCCAUAAAGCAAAAUGAAAAAGAACAGAAGUUGGAUUAAGGCAUUUAAAGCUUUACCUCUCUCUCUCUCUUUUUUUUUUUUUAUUUGGUAUUCAGUCUUGAUAAUUCAUGAUUUUAUUUUUUUGGAUUAUUUUUCUAUCUGAAGCCUGAUUUAUGUAAUUGGUAUAUACUGUAUACGUUAUGUUAGCUUAACUUUUUGGUAAUUACGGAAAUCUGUCACCCUUAGUGCUGCCUUCAGCUUCCAUUCUUGUCUCUGACUUUGGUGGCUGACAUUUUUUUCAGUGUCAUAAAAUUUAGGGUUGUAAAAUUCAUAUUGUAACUUUAAUAGCCACAUCUGUUUUAAACAUUUUUGUUUUAAGAACUCAAUGUGAAUUUAAUGACAAGGCAAUAAAAGUAAAAGUUGAAGGAAAUUAUCACAGAUUUGUAAAGCCAUAAGAUAUGUUUCUGGACUUCUGUGGGCCUUCAAGUUACAAAGAAACAACCCACUUGCUUUUAUUGUAGCUAUUCUGCUCUUAAAACAUUUCAUAGCUUAAUCUAUUAGCAAGAAUUAACAUUUCCUUUACAUUAGUAUUAAUAAUGACAAGUAUACCCAGAUGUAGGUUGUCAUUAGCAUACACCCACACCAUGUUCAGAAGAAAAAUAUCUCUACAGUGCUACCACUUUAUUUAACAGUUAGCAACAAUUGAUAAUUUAUCAUCAUAUUUUUAGUGCCAUAUCAGUCUAGAGAAUCAAGAACGUAACAAAAGCCACUUCUAUCUUCUUCCUUCAGUAUCUCGCUAUAGACCCAGCCUUUCAGAUGAUGUAAAUCAAAGUAACAGGGCUGUUUGUUGUGGCAGGGACCCCAUCUGCAGAGCCAAAUCACAGAGUCUUUGAGGUUGGAAGAGAUUGCCUCUUGUCCUGUCACUGGAUUCCACUGACCCGUCUUGUCUGCUUCCCAUCAGGUAUUUUACACGUUAACAAGGUGCCCCAGGAGGCUUUUCUUCUAUAGGAUAAGCACUCCCAGUCCUCUGCACCUCUUAGUAAGUCAGAUGCUCCAGUCCCUUAAUCAUUUCUGUUGCCCUUUGCUGGACUUACUCCAGUAUACCCAUGUCUCUGUUGUACUGGGAAGCCCAGAAACCUUUAAAAACAGCCCAUCAGACAUUAUAAACUUAAUCUGAUGUUCAGUACUUCUGACACUGGAUCUCAUGGUCCUUUGCUGCCUUUCCUUCUGGGCUUUUUCUGUCUGAUCUCUGUCUUUGUUGAUAAAUGGAGACCAAAUGGAAAGCUGUAAAAAUCUUUCCUAUGAAUCCCUUAACAUUGCAUGUAAUGUUUAUCAAAUCAGAGUCAUAUAAACAUUUAUGUAAAUCAAUUAGGAGCAAGCAGGCAGCAUUCAGGAUUGCUUUCAGUAUCACUUUCAUACCUAAAAUCCUUCUAGGCAGACCCGGUUAACCCAGUCAAUAUGUUAGAAGCUGUUUCAGUGCCAUCUUUUAUAUAUGUUUGCAAAACUCAUUACGGCAGAGGAAAGGAAGGGGUUUUAAAGGAGAAAUUCAAUGACUAGAAGCAUUUCAGCAACCUAUACUGCCAAAUAUAAUUGCUACAGUGGCCUGACUCCUGGCAUCUGGUUGUGGCUCAGUUGUUAUGGAUGUCAGUUUGGAAGACUCUCAGUUUUCUACAAUAUUUAAUAAAGCCAUUAUACAGACCUCUUUCUUAGAUAAGAUUUUGCAGAGAAACAGAGGCUCUAACUCACUGACAACUAUUUCAGAUAAAGUGAUUUACUAACUAUUUACAAGCGAGUUGCUCCUGGUGUUCAGUGCUCACCACCAGUUCAAUAGUUAAAAAGUUUGUUGAAAAUAAGCCCACUCAGGACAGACUUUAAAUUGCUUUAUACAGUAGAUCAAAGAUAAGAAAAGUAGUAGCACUGCAGGUUUAAAGUAAUUUGAUCCUUCAAGGGGCAACAGUGAGCUCAAAGAAGUUUCUGUUACGCUGGUAAGUGAUGCAGUAAGUUACCAUAAUAGAGGUUUAUCAUGCUCAGAGCUGUAGUGCUUUCUUUCUCUAUCACUUUGAGAUUAUCGUCUUCAAUUCAUAGAUAUGCCAUGGAGCAAAUGCAUAAGGAAUACAUACUUCACCAGCUCUUUAUAAUUGCUCAACAUAACUCAUGUAUACAGAGGAUAUGGCUUUCCACUGGCAAGUUGGCAUAUGCUUGUGUAAUUUGUCUGUUUUGUCUGCAAAAUUCCAUGGAUUAAGUUAAAAGAAUCUGCUUCAAAUUUGAUCUUAACAGCCCUACAUACGUACAGAAAGCAGCUAAUAACUUGCCAAAAUUUAUGGAGCCUAACACUGUAUUCUCUGACAGACUCUGGAAGCUUGAGCUGAUCAAAAAUCUUUCAAAACUGAUUUUUAAAUUAUAGAUUCACUUCUGUGUGAUAGUUUGUCUUGUCCAUAUAAGUCAACUGAAGGCACACAAAACAGGUAAUUGUUUUUAAUGUAAGAGUGCCCCCAAUUUUUGAGCUAUGUGCACAGAUUCCCAUUUUACUUGUGCAAUAAUAAUUAAGCACAUCUCACAUGGGAAAUUUGCAUACUCAUCAAUUAGUUCCCCUGUUAUUUUUGGAAGAUCUGGAUUGGUACAUUCUAGAAAGAGCCCAAUUUAUUACAGGAAAU